rnacentral:tRNA from 1 species
UCUACAAUAGCUUAAUGGGAAAGCUUUUGGCUGUUAACUAAAAUUAUAUCAGUUCGAUUCUGAUUUGUAGAG